rnacentral:rRNA from 1 species
AUUGAACGCUGGCGGCAUGCUUUACACAUGCAAGUCGAACGGUAACAGGCCUUCGGGUGCUGACGAGUGGCGAACGGGUGAGUAAUGCAUCGGAACGUGCCCAAUCGUGGGGGAUAACGUAGCGAAAGUUACGCUAAUACCGCAUAAGCCCUGAGGGGGAAAGUGGGGGACCGCAAGGCCUCACGCGAAUGGAGCGGCCGAUGUCAGAUUAGCUAGUUGGUGGGGUAAAGGCCCACCAAGGCGACGAUCUGUAGCGGGUCUGAGAGGAUGAUCCGCCACACUGGGACUGAGACACGGCCCAGACUCCUACGGGAGGCAGCAGUGGGGAAUUUUGGACAAUGGGCGCAAGCCUGAUCCAGCCAUGCCGCGUGCGGGACGAAGGCCUUCGGGUUGU